CCGACCUACGGGGGGCAGCAGUGGGGAAUAUUGCACAAUGGGGGAAACCCUGAUGCAGCAACGCCGCGUGAAGGAAGACGGUUUUCGGAUUGUAAACUUCUGUUCUUAGUGAAGAAGAAUGACGGUAGCUAAGGAGCAAGCCACGGCUAACUACGUGCCAGCAGCCGCGGUAAUACGUAGGUGGCAAGCGUUGUCCGGAAUUACUGGGUGUAAAGGAAGCGUAGACGGCGCGGCAAGUCUGAAGUGAAAGGCAGGGGCUUAACCCCUGAACUGCUUUGGCAACUGCCAUGCUAGAGUGCUGGAGG
rnacentral:rRNA from 1 species